CGAGUUGUAAUUUGUAGAGGAUGUUUCGGGUACCGCCUCGGUUUAAAUUUCUUGGAACAGAAUGUCAAAGAGGGUGAGAAUCCCGUCUUGGACCGGCGGUAGGGCCCAUGUGAAACUCCUUCGACGAGUCGAGUUGUUUGGGAAUGCAGCUCAAAAUGGGUGGUAAAUUUCAUCUAAAGCUAAAUAUUGGCCAGAGACCGAUAGCGCACAAGUAGAGUGAUCGAAAGAUGAAAAGCACUUUGAAAAGAGAGUUAAACAGUAUGUGAAAUUGUUGAAAGGGAAGCGCUUACAACCAGACUUGCGCGCGGCGGUUCCCCCUUCCUUUUGGUUGGGCUACUCCGUCGUGUCCAGGCCAACAUCGGUUCUGGGGGUCGGUUAAAGACCCUGGGAAUGUAUCUACCCUUCGGGCGUAGACUUAUAGCUCAGGGUGUCAUGCGACCUACCCGGGACCGAGGAACGCGCU
rnacentral:rRNA from 1 species